UAAAAACUGGAGGAUCCUGAAAUAUAUGUUCAAUCGACAUCUUGAUCAAAACUUCAGAAACUAAUCCAUAUAUUAUUGUGAAUAUGUAACCCAAAUCACUUCUCCAAUGAUUUCUUAGUCACUGGGAACUUCAGUAUGUUGCACAGUCUGUAAGACAUAUUUACAUGAAAGCCCUUUUUUGAUUAAUGGGAGAAAAGUUCAUGUAAUUGGAGUGGUAUGUUAUUUCCUUAAGCCCUUCUGAAAUCAUGUUAUAGGAUGUUGUAGUUAUGUUCAAAACAGUGUUCUUUUUAGCUGCCCCAAAUCCUCAAAUUUUUUUUCUGAAUAUAACUUAUAAAUCAGUCCUUUUAGAAUAUCAGAACAAUGCUGUCUACUCACUGCUGUCACUAGAUAUAUAUUUUAUGGAGAUGCAUUAGGAAUAGAUAAGAAAUGAAAGUAUUUUAUUUUUUUUAGAAAUUAAUCUGAAACAUGGAUUUUUUUUUUUUUUAAGUAAUCUGUACACCCAAUGUGAGGCAUGGACCCACAACCCCAAGAUCAAGAGUCAUAUGCUUUACUGACGGAGCCAGCCAGGGGCCCCAAUAUAUGAUUAAAAUGAGUAAAUUUUUUACCCUAUGAUUUAAAUUUUAUAUUCUGCUUUUAAUUUUUUAUUUGUUUUUAGAAGGUGACAUUUAUUGUUGCUCAUUUCUCUUUCCUCAAAGUGAUGAAGCUGCUGAUUUGAAAUGUGUAUUUUGGUGCCAUUUCAGAACCAAAAUCUUACUUACCAAAGGUGAAAAAUAUUAUGUGAAUGUGGUUUCCUGAGAUACCUGCUCUCCUUUUAUAUAGUAUAUUCAAGCCCUUUGAGAGGUCUAAAUAUUAUAGAUCAUAGUUCAUGAGACCUCUUCUCACCCAGAAGGGCAAUAUAAUAAGGACUUAAGGCCAUUCACUAAAAAGAUGGAAGAAACUUAUGUUCUCUUAUAUAUAACUGUAAAAGUCCAUUUUCUCUGUUAGACAUCUGCUACUGCUGUAUUUUCUGCUAUAUUUCAGGAGGCAAAUGUCCUUAAGACUAACGCUAACGUGGCUCUUAGAACUGAUGAUCAGGAACUCCCCAAGGGUAUGCAGUCCGCUAUGUGGUUUUGGGCCCACACAGUUUUUAAAAGGAAGUCAAUUCCUCACAUAAUUGCAGCUAAAAUCAAAGGGUUCUAAAUAGUAAUACCGGCACAGCAGUAAAUGUUAUUUUAUUCUCAUGACCCAUUUUCUUGAUGAUCCUCUGAAUUGCCUAAAAACACAUGCCAAAUGCAGUUUGUGCAGUUAGCAGUAAAUAGAUUCAGUUAGGGCUCACUUUAUGUAAGAUCUACCAGUAUCUUUAAUAAAUUACAUACAUUUUUAUUUAACUUUUCAGAGAAAAGAAAGGUCUGAUCUCAUUUGUUCUUCAUUGCUACUUCUGAAUUCCUCCCUCUCUCCUCUCUAAAAUCCUCUGCUUUGAAGCUCAGACUGUCCAACAUUUCACUCCGCAUCCUUGUUGCAGUUAACUGACAGUUCCCCAGGAUGCCACAGCCUUGAAGGUUUUUAGCUCCUCGUCUGUCUUUGCAACACUACCCAUGUUCUAAAUCUUGAAGAUUUCAGUGUCCAUGAGAAAAUGACAUUAGAAAAAAUUGCCCAAGAAGGUGAGGGAGCUAGUUAUAUAAUUAUCUUAGGGAAAGUGUAAUGGGCUGAGGGAACAAGUGCAAAGACUGAAGCAGAGCAUGCUUGGUGUGCUGAAGAACCGCAAAAAGGCCAUUAUGGCUGGAGAAAAGCCAGGGACAAAGGAGGAGAUAAAGUCUGAAAAUAGAGCUGGGUCAUAUAGGGCCCCUAUGCCAUUGGAAGGCAUACCAGAUCAUAAGAUUUUUCUAGCAGAUUUAUCCUUCACUGUAUUUCAGGCUCUCUGAUGAUCAUGUCCUAAACCUUGUCUGUAUCCAUAAUUAUAGGCCUAUCUUUUUUUUCUCGGUUUUAGUAGUAUUCUCUGAAUUACCAUUUAUGGUCAUUCCAAUUUUACUCUCCCUGAUUUCAGUGAUUCUUCAACCCCACCAGGGCCUACAAUCCAUUGAUCUUUUAUCAUUUUUUAUUGACUCCGCCUCCCGCCCCUCCCUGUUCUUCCUUACUCCCUUAUCAAAAUUAUAUUCAUCAGCCCUUCAUCAGAAUCACCCUGUUGUAGUCACUCAUCCUUUGUCUCUCUCUCUCAUUUUGUGUACUCUCUUGACAAAAGUCUCAACCCCAGCUAAACCAGCUCUCCACACUUAAACGUUUUUUUCUCCCAUAUUAAACAAAUUGUUUAAAAUAAAAACUUUUGGCCUCCAUUAGAAAUGGUGGAGGCUGGGGCGCCUAGGUGGCUCAGUCAGUUGAGCGUCCAGCUUCAGCUCAGGUCAUGAUCUCACAGUUCGUGGGUUCGAGCUCUGUGUCGGGCUCUGUGCUGACAACUCAGAACCUGGAGCCUGCUUCGGAUUCUGUGUCUCCCUCUCUCUCUGCCCCUCCCCUGCUUGCGCUCUGUCUCUCUCACAAAAAUAAAUAAACAUUAAAAAAAAAUUUUUUUUUUUUUUAAAGAAAUGGUGGUAGCUGGAGAGCUGGCUCCAGCUACCACCCAUUUCCUUUUUUCCUUUUUAAAGCAAAAUUCCUGUCAGAGCCAUAUAUUAUAACAAUGAUAACAAUAAAUAACAUUUAUUACGCACUUGCUGUGUGCCAGGCAUUGUUCCAGAUAUUUUACAUAUAUUAAUCUUGUUUUAUUCUCAUAGCAGUCCAAUGAGGUAAAAAAAAAAAAAAAAAAAAAAAAAAAAACCACUUUUUACAAUGAGAAAAAGGCAUGAAGAACUUAGUUUCCCAACUACUUGAUGACAAAUAGUGAUCCUGGAAUUAAAAUCCAGGCAGUCUGUCAUCAGAGCCUGUGCUCUCAACUAGACCAAAGCAAAGCAAAUUAUGUUCUAAAUCUCAGUUCUCAGACACAUUAGCAGCACACUCCAGUUUCCAAGAAUGAGUGUAUCCUACCCCACUCCUCAUUCCUCCUGAGCAGUAUUGUAGUAAGUUCUGGCUGCAAAGCCACGAUAUAAUGUGGAGUUUUUCAUGUAACCAGAAGGUUCAAAGUGAUUACUUUUAGGCAAAGGACUCUUUCUCUUGCAACAUUUUGACUUUAGCCUUUUUUGGUUUCCUUGUGCUUUGCAUUUCUCUCUUGCCUCUCCUGUAAAUUCAUUGGUAAGAGGCUUAAGGCUGCCUCUCUCUUUGGUAGAAGCUCAUGCUCAUAGUAUGCCAAACAGGAACCAGAUGGGGAAAAGGAGUUAAAGGAGAGACUUUUCUGAUCCUGAUCUCUAGUUCAGGGGAAAAAAAAAAAAAAAGAAUACCUGAGCUGCAUCAGAUUAGUAAUAAACAAGAUUUCUUUGUCUGGAUUGCCCCCUUUUCAGUUGCUGCUUUGGAAUAUGUGGUGGCAGAUUUUAAUCCAAAAAAAAAAAAAUUAGGGACUUUGCACUAUUUGUCAAAGAGGAGGGGAAAAAAACCUAAUGACAUGAUUUUAAAUUCGUCAAUUGGAGUUGUUUUCUCUAGACCCUAAUCUAAUAUUCCCAGAGAACUUCUUACUCAAAGAACUUCCUAUGAUACAUUAUUAAUUUGUCAAUUCUUUCUUACAUUGUCUUUGGGGAGAGAGCAAUUCAGUUAAACAUUUAGUGUAUUUUUUUAAAUAACUACUGACUUAGAAAAUUUUAGAUAGUAAAUCAUCAAAAUCAGUUUUAAGAAGAGGGAAACAUCAGAAUCACUCUAGAAUGCCUUUCUCAUUGGCAGAGGUCACAUGCCCCUUCCUAAACAAUUGCUGGCAAGGAGAAAGGGUUUCUAUGAUUGGCUUUUCCUUUUCUGGAAGGAAGGUUGUGGAGUCAGCCACCAUCCCAAAGAGGAGUUAUGUUUCUUAUUUGAUUUUCGUUUGGUUGGUUUUUUGGUUCCUUUUUGAAAGUUAUCCUCAUGUUAGAAAUAGUUUAAAAUUCCCACUCUAAAGAACAGGCAAGCUUUUCCCAGCCAUGUUGUUGCCCAUCCCAACCGCCCCCAUACCCAUUAUAUAUAGUAUGUAUAGUGUAUAUAAUUCUGCCUCUCUGUAACCAUGUUUUAAUUAUAUUCAAUUUGCAAAAAUGUUAAAAUUUUAUUCACAGUGAAAGGUCUAAUCUGUUGAAGGGAACUGAUGUUGAUGUGAAAUCACUGGAAGAGAAUAAAAAAAGAAUCGACCUACAAACGACCGUGGCAAAAUGAAGUUCUAAACAUUUCCCAAGUGAUUACUUUUUACCAUGGAAGUUUUAUUUCCCAGAAAGCAUAAAGCUGAAUAGUCUUGCCAAACCAGCUGAAGCUUAAUGAACAAACUCUAUUGGCCCUUUAAUAAUAAUAUCUGAACCGUUUAUCUCUUCAGUUAUAAAAAUGCAUAUAAGUUGGCAGAGAUUUGACUUAAGAGUUUUAAGUCCUAUAUAUAGCUUUUGGGUGACUUGAUCUCUUUUUCUAGACAUCUAUCUGCCUCAGGGCUUUGGUCUAAUUACUUUUAGUAAAUAAACUAUUUUCAUAUAAAUGGUUUAAAGAAGAGCAAUAUUACUAGGAUUAUGAAGACCAAGAGUAUAAUGUUACAGUCUAAAAACCCAAGGUUUUACUGUGAUACUAAAUGUUUAACUGAAUUGCUGUCUCCCCAAUUGUACCUGUGUUGGAUGUUGCCACUUUUCUAUUGCUGGAAAGGGCCUUUUACAAAAGCAUGUUCAACGUGAAUACUAAUCCUUAUAGCAAGUCCUUCAGGUUAAUGCCAAUAGUGUGCAUGAGGACAAAAUCGUAUUUAUACCAUGUAAUACUCCAGAGGGAUUAGGUACUGAGCAGCAGCUGUGGAGAAAAAGAUGAUAGGUCUGACAAGGCAGAACAGGCUAGAGAGUCUGAUUUCUGAAAGUGGAGAUCCGAGAGUAGAACUAGCCACUAGGAAGUAUUAGGAGAUUUCAGCUUAGAGCAGUUUCAGUCCAAACCCAGUGGGUAUGCUUAAAGAGCCAACCAGGAAAAAAAACGAAAACAAAACCAAAAAAUCUUUGCUUCCUUAUAUGGACUUAGGGAGGUAUUCUGGGAAAAAAGCAUGUUGAAACUCCUUCAGGAAGGAAGAGGACUUCUGAUUCAAGAGUCAUUCUAUUUCUGUGCCUUUGCCACCAGUUUUCACACAACUGCUUUCUCUGAUACUACACUGUCAGAGACACCCAACUGAUAGUUGGCUUUUUCUUUUACUGAAUAAAUACAACUUUUUCCCCGACCAUAAGAAAGAAGAAAACUAUGAGAUAGAAGAUCUGUUUCCAUGGCUUAAAAAAAAAAAAAAAAAAAGGUAGUAUUUCCCACUGUGUUCAAUUGAUGAUGGUGAAAGGAGGAGAAGGAGGAUGACAAUGAGAAAGGCAUUUUGAAGUUUAGUGGCUGUUAGGGGAAGGAAGUUGGGGAUAGUGGAAAGAAUACUAAACCAAGUAUCGUAACUUGAUUUUUAGAUCUGGGUUGUUCCCUACUUUAGCCAAACGUAAGACUCUGAAUUCAUAUUGGUUUUAGUUUCUCUAUCAAUAGGAAGUAGACUAUAUGAUCUCUUGCCCUUCUACCUCUAAAAUUCUGUAAUUAUGACAGCAAGUAUCUACACUAACGCCUGAGCAGUAUCGAGAAUAUGAAAAACAGUAUAUAGAGCGAGGUGUCCUUUUAUAAUUAAGUUUAUGCCUAGUUAUAAUUGGUUUAUGGAACAGAAUUUUUUCCCAGACCCACUGUACCUCAGAAAGGAUUGAACAGUUCAUUCUGGCAAAGAAAAGGCAAAACUGUUAGCACAUCAUACUGCCACAUGAAGGCUAACAAUUAGACAUAAAGCCAGACAAAAUCGCAAGGAGAGCCAUAAAUAAAAGAGAGUCUUAAUGUGAUUUAAAUACCGUGACUGAGUUGCAUUCAGUGUUAGCCUGGUCACCAAGUCCAAUGCAACAUUAUCCCCUAUAGAGAUGUAUUCUAGCAAAAGACUUCUGCAUCCGCCAUCUGGCCCUUGACUCAGGGAGCACAUCUCACUGAAUGACACAUAACCCAGUGGGAUGCACCAAAUUUGCUUAAACAUGAGCACAUCCUCUUCUCAUAACAAAGGCUGGAUAUGACCCUAAUUUUAUAUUCUAUAAACUAUGUUGAGGAAAUUAUUAAAACAACAGUCUUCUGGGAGGCCUGUAACCAUCUACUGAUCAUGUUUUCUUUGUCACAGCCACAGUUUCAAGAAAUAACUGUAAAUUUCAGCUUAAAUUGAGAAGCAAAUUAGAUGUGCUUUAAAUUUAAAAAUUCAUUAUGAAUUUAGAAGUAAAAAAGUGAACUGUUUGUGACUAGAUGAUCUGACCUUACAAACACAAGAAUUUGAGCAGAAUUCCAAAAGUUAGAGUUUGUGUUCUCUGUGAACAGCCGUCAGGGAAUUGUGCCAGAGGAGCUCUACUUAAGAGAAAUUUCUCUGAGGUUCUGAUUUUUUUUAAGUUAAUACCUUAAACUGUGAUUUCAGACGUGUUCCAGAAUAAAGGCAAUCACAUCCAGUAUUUCCUGUCUCUAAGAUAGAGUCUACUGCACUGCUUGUAUUUUAUAUUACUUGAGAAUUAUUUUCCUUUAGAAGGAACAGUAUGAUUUGCCUAAAUGGAGAGUAUUUUUUUUUUCUUUUUAAGUAUAUCUUUGGCAUUCCUCACAGUGUUAAAUAUUUUAUUGGCUAUCGGGAGGAAAGGAUUCUCUAUUAUGUAAAUGGCACCCCAAAUCUACAGAUCCCAAGUUAAUACUGAAGACUUUUUGUUAGUCUCUGGUGCCCUUUCUGGUAAAGAUAAAUGCUAAAGAAGGGGCAGUAUGUGGAAAUAGGAAUAAAACUAAAAUGACCAUUUUUCUUCCAAGUUAUAUAACACUAUAAUGCUUUGUUGCAAUAAUAUGAGGAAACCUUAUGCAAGAACUGAGCUGUGAUUAAUAGAAGCAAAAAGAAGUAGAAACAUCAUUCCUUAAACACAGCAAACUCAAAUAGGAAGGAAAAUAGUCUUUUAAAUGAGAAGCAAAAAGUUGUAUGGAAGUGUUGAAUCAUUAUAUUGUACACCUGAAACUAAUAUUACACUGUCUAUUAACUAACUGGAACUUAAGUAAAAACUUUUUGAAAGUUCAAAGUGAUAUGAGAAGGAAAUGUUAAUGCUAAUGCCAAUAUCAUGUGAACUGUUAAUUAGAAAGUAAAGUGGAAAUGGAGCGUGUGACUAAUAAAGUAAAUACCAUGAAAUUCUGGGGAAAGCCUAGUAAAGCUGGACUUCUUCAGGGCUACAGCACUGAGGGGAUUUUCUCAUGUUUCACGAAUUGACCCAGAUUAUUAUGGAGUCAAAUGAUAGUGGAGUCCCUAUCAUGAAGGGUAGUGAAAUGAAUGAAGACUGAAAGAGAGCAUCAUAAUGCUGACGUUGUCAGAUGUCCAGUCACGUGGACUUGCGAACCUGGCAAAUUGCUGAAAUUAGUAUGGGGGAAGAAAUCUUAAGUUAUAAACUAAUUUAAAAAUGAGAGCAAUAAGCUAGGUAAUGGCAGUUUUAACAUAUUUUAAGAACUGAACCUAUUCAUCCAGUUUAGUACCAGGCCCUAAGCUUCUGCCUCGAGUGUAUGGCCCACCUGAAUAUUAAGGGCCAUUAUAUGGAAGAUGAUGACCAGCUGUUCUCUUUCUCCCCUGAGUUCCAAACAAUAAGAAAUGGGCAUAAGCUUUGGUGUGAAGGAUUUAGGCAAAGAAUGAGGAAGAAUAUUGUAAAUUGAAGUGCAUUACUGAGUGAAUUUCAUUCUAUGGAAGUCUUUUAAAAAGUCAUUACUGUCACUCAAAACACUUACAGUCUGUCUGUGACAUACAUAGGUAGCCCUACAGUAAGAGAUGUGAAUAAUUACACAACAAUUAGAACGUCUUUGAGCUGGAGAGUAAUCCGCCCAAACACCAAGUAACGCAAGAGAGAAGCAUGAAAAUACAUAACCACAAAAAUGAGAGAGAGAGACAUGUAUAGAUCAACAUAAUGACAGCAUUUAGCUAAUUAAACUCUCAGGAAAUGUUCUGACUGCUUUUGGAAAGCAAAGAAGUCUUCAUUUUUAGCUUUGUCAGUUGACAUAAUUUUGAAUUGAGUCUGAUUCUCAUUGGCAUCUAUGAUCUAUGUAUACAGUUUCUGGAACAGCCUUUUCCUGGAGAAAAUUUUCAAACAAACAUUUGGCAUCAGUGGAAUAUUUUUUAUCACACCAUCAGUAUUUUUCAUUGUACAGCCUUUGACUUCCAGAAGAUUCAAGCUGUCUUAGAGUCUCUGAGAACCCUAGGGCAUUAGAUGAAUGCCAGGUAUAUUACACUGAGAGAUUAGAUCCCAGGGAACUGGAAUUCUGAGAAUUAGGAUGCCUGACUGAGAUUGAACUAUCUAUGUAUCCUGGUAUAGAUACAGAAAGAUAUUAGUGGUAUUUUAGAUUAGAAUUUUUAGACUUCAUCCAAACAACCUGUUAAAAGCCACGUUCUCUUGUACCUGUGAAACCAUAGAUUCAGUGUAAGAAUAAUGCGUUCAAGAAGAUUUAGUCCGAUGCAGUGGUGUGCUAAUGUUUAAUUCCUGGUUUUCCGGGCAAGGAGUGUGUGGUUUUAGGGGGUGGAGGAUUGGAAGCAGAGGUGGUAAGCAGGUAUCUGAUUUGUAGCAAUGGCCAAUUUCUGUGAUACAAAUGCCCCACCACGGCCAACUGCAAGCUACUAAAAUGACAUCAGUGAAAACAGAGUUGGGAAGAGGUUGCCUCUCGUUAUUCCUGCACAUGAGUGGUACUACAUCAGGUAUACGUAAAACACCAAAGUUCAAAAAUCUCACUCUGUGUCAUUCAGUGGCAAUCAGCAUUGUCAUCAUGAAGUAGAACUUCUCGCUUCCACCUUCUGGCAAAUGGUCUGAAAGCAUACCUUACAAACACGUGGCUUCUCCGUCUGAGAGCUGUGAUUUUUUUUUUUUUUAAUUUCUAUUUACUUUUGUGAGAAAGAGAGACACAGCAUGAGCAGGGGAGGGGCAGAGAGAGAGGGAGACACAGAAUCUGAAGCAGGCUCCAGGCUCUGAGCUGUCAGCACAGAGCCUGACAUGGGGCUUAAACUCACAAACCAUUGGAUCACGACCUGAGCCGAAGUCAGAUGCUUAACCGACUGAGCUGCCCAGGUGCCCCGAGAGCUGUGAUUUUUAAAUCCUACUAAAGACUUUAUUAUUUAACAUAAGACUCCCCUAUGAUACUGCUCUUUUUAGCAGUGUCACCCAGUCCUUUGUAUGUUCUAAUUGCUAUAAACAGCAAAUGAAAUGUUUAUAGGUCAACAGAACCAAUUCUUAGGAGCAGUAAGCACAACCUUCAGAAUAGAAAAAUAGUUUGGGAGGCAUGUUUUAUUUUGGAUUUUAGUAUUUUUGGUGUUAAAAAGACUGAUAACACUGAGAAACAGUAAUUAUCAUUCAACAUGAGCCUGGCUGGAAACACAUUGCAUAGCAGUUCAAGAAUUUAUUUGCUUAUUUUUGGAAACAGUAGAACUAUUACAUUAACCUAUCAGUUUAUGGUCAUCUCCUUUUUUCUUUUUUUUAAGUGUCUCAAUUUUUUUUUUUUUUAAUGUUUAUUUUGAGAGAGUGAGAGAGCAUAGGGGAGGGGUGGGGAGAGGAGAGUGAGAGAGAAUCUCAAGCAGGGUCCAUGGUGUCAGCGCAGAGCCCAGUGGAGGGCUUGAACUCAGGAAUGGUGAGAUCAUGACCCAAGCCAAAUUCAAGAAUUGGAGGCUUCAACCAACUGUGCUACCCAGGUGCCCCCUCCUCCUUUCUUCAUUCUCUGACCUACACAUAGUUUUGUAAACCCAAGAUACAUGUGUCUCAUCCCUUUUGUCUCUCUGUGAAAAUAAGAAUUGUAAAAUUGUAAUGGCAUUGCCUUCCCCUGUGCCAGAAUUCCCAGAUGCCUCGUGUUCCUGACCGAGUAAUUCAUUUACUUACGAAUUCCUGCUCUUUGUAUUUAAAAGACAAAACCACUUGGCAAAAACCCUUCUGAACUUUCAGAGAGAAAGCAAAUGGAUUCUUAGGACACAGUCAUUCCAAUCAUGCCAUGGUUAAUAUUCAUUCUAAACUGUUGAUAACAUUUAGGAUAACACCUAUAUUGCUAUUUACAGUGAACUUUCACAUGUAUGUCCUUCCCAUUACAUAAUACUGAGUAACAUUAUUGGUAACAUGAAAUGUCACUGUCCAGUCUUAGAGCCUCUGCCAAUAAUUAAUAUGUAUUUAUUCAAUAAGUAGGUGAUAGGUGCUUUCUGUGGUGAGCCAUUAUGGAGUCUGUCAAGAUGAAUUAAGACCAGUCCAUUAGUAUUUGACUUAAACUGGGCAGGGGUUAGAAAUGCUUGCACGUAUUUAAACUAUAUGAAAUUCUUAUUUUCUGUCAUCACUGGGAGAGAAUUUAAGCUCAAAUAGGUCAUCACCAUGGCCCUAAUAAAAUUUUUGUUGUUGCUAGGUUGGUUGGUUUGGUUGUAUUUCUUUUUUUUUUUUUUUUUUUCGAUAAUUGUUUAAUAUAAACAAUAAUUCAAUCACAGUUGACAAACACAUGAAUAAGUCAGUGAACUGUAUGUGCCUGCCACACAUCUAAGGUCAUUCCCAAGAUAUACUUCUUCAGUGAAUUUUUCCCUGACAGUAACAGUUAAUGACAGUGUGACCCCAAUCAUCUUAAUUGCUGAGAGUUAGCACAGUUACUCUGCAUUGCUAUUGGCUAAUGAAUCAGAUUCAUUGGCUGGUUCUGACAGGGCUGACAUAACAUGUCACUGACUAAGUGACAGUUCUAGAAGAGGACAGGAAGAAGUAUGAGGAGGGAAGCAAACGUUCGUCAGUACACUAAGACAAACUAGCACAACAACACAAUCUGUGCUGAAGCAGGAAAUGAAAAAACACACAGAGGGCCUCCUGAUCAUUUGCCUUAACAUCACAUUUUUAUUCUCUCAUAUUCAGAAGAAAAAAAAAAUAGUGGUAGAAUGAUAUUUCUGAAUCUGUCAUUUAUAAAUUGUAGUUUGGGAGAAAUUGAAAUAAGUUACAUGGGGGUGAGGAAGAGACAGAUGAGAUCUUAAUAAUUAUUAAGUUGGAGUGGACCAGGGGGAAGCAUCAGAAGGUAAGUAGAAAUACAGAAGUAAAUUGGGUGUUUCCACCAAAUACCAAGCCAUAUAUCUAAGGAGAGACCAUCACUUCUUAUUCACGAUGUAAUUAAGUGGAACCAUGUGAAACUGCUGAUAGUCAACCAUCUUUGACCUACAAAAAUGGUCAUGGGUGUGGUUUGACCUAUAAACUAUUGGAAACAAGGUAUAUUUGUAAAAUAUAUUUUAAAAAGCACACUGAAUUAUCCCAUGGCUUGUUACAGAGAACAAGAAAAACAAUAAUCCAAAAAAAAGUUAGUUUUUUAAAAACACUAUAGUCAACUCCUUAACGUCAAAUACCUAUGGGUUUUUAAUCCAAAAUACUCUAUAUGCUUGGGGAUGAGGUUUGCAAGGGUUGUUUUGGAAAGAAAAUAAGCUAGUUAAGAAGGCAUUUUCUAUUAGCUCCAAAGGAAUGUAACACCAGGCAGUGUUUUUCAUUUUUAAGGAUCUGAAAGACGCUAACUAUAGGAAAGAUCAAGAACAGUCACGUGCUGGUCCUCCACCACCCUAUAGCAAGCAGUCCAUGGAUGUCUGCAAGCAAGCAUUGGGGCCUGGCUGUGCCAUCCUUACCCUGGCCCACCCCUGGGCACAAGUGGGAUGUGGACUCUGAACAGAACCACCAGUGUAUUAUUUCUGCCACUUCUCAUCCAUCAUUUCUGGGUCAUUUGAGACCAGCUUUCUGUGUUUGCUAACAGAUAUAUAUAUAUAUAUAUAUAUAUAUAUAUAUAUAGGAAUAUCAUAUAUAUAUACACACACAUAUAUAUCAUCCAGCCUUAUAAAGGAGACUCUGCCAUUUGCAACGACACAGAUGAACCCGAAGAGGACAUUAUGCCAAGUGAAAUAAGCCAGACACAGAAAAAUACUGCAUGAUCUUAGUUACAUGUGGAGCCUAAAAUAGUAACCCCACUGGAUACCACGUGGGGAAAAUAGGGAGAUGUUGGUUAAAGGAUAUAAAAUUGCAGUCUACAGGAUGAAUGAGGAAAGCUAAUGUACAACAUUAUGACUGUAGCUAGUAAUACUGUAUUGAAAACGAAAUCUAAGAAAAUAUAUUUCACAUGCUCUGACCAUACACAACACACACAGGUAACUGUAGGAGGAGAUGGAUAUGUUAAUUUGCUUGACUCUAGUAUCCUAUCAUUAUGUAUAUCAAAACACCAAGUUGUACAUCUUAAAUAUAUACAAUUAAAUGAUAAAACAGGAACAAUGUUUUUAGCCUUGAAACUGAAGUUUGAGCAGGGCUCAGUAGGGAAGCACUCUUCCUUCUCCCAGUUAGUGUUAACUAGGGCUUCUCAGUGUUGAAUCUACAGAAGGCUCAUUCACUCAUGUGUCUGGUGGUUAAUACUAGCUGUCAGCUUUAGCUGGGCUGUUGCCUUGAACAUCAUCAUGUAGCCUCUCCAUAUGUUCUGGGCAUUUUUCCAAAAUGGUGGCUCUCACCAUUUAUCACUCACGCCAAGUUUAAUUGUCUCAAGAAAGAGCUGGGUGGAAACCAUCACCUUUUCUCCUUACUCUGCAGCUUAGCAAGUAGCCUUGAAAAUAACCCACAUUCUAGGUACCUCAGGGAGCAGAGUGGACUCCAUUCACAAAGAAUUGUCAUUACUUGAACUGUCUGGUGGCUCUGUGGGAAAACAAAUAGAAGCUUUACCUGUUCGUACCUCAGAAGUCCUCCAGUGCUACAGCUGCUGCACAGGUGGGGUUUGUUGAAAUAUUUACAGGGAAAUAUUUUAGUUGCUGCUGCAAGGGGUGAUAACAGGGCAAACAGUAUAUUGAUGAAAAGGCUUGGAAGAAAAGACUGAGAAAUACAGUGUCCAUAAAGGCUUUGAAAAGUUCUUGACAUGGACAUUUAGAAGGCCACACACAUGCACGGGGCUGUGUGCAUGCUUAGGAAGGCCCGAGAAGGCCCUAAGCUAUCCCCUCUGGCUGACCUUGAGGCUCUAUAAAAGCAGAAAGUGAAACCUAAGGCACAGUUGUAAACUGCCUGAUUGAGUACUGAAGGUAUGCCUCAACCCACACAUCAAGUCCCUUGGCAAAAGCCAGUAUUUUGUGGGUUCCAGGCAUUUAAGGAAAUCUCUGUGCGAUUAACUGAUCACUAAGCCAACCAAGAAAUUGCAGUGGUUUCACAUAGGAAGGGAUACAGCUUUACAGGAUUAGUUCGGAAAAGCCACUAAAUAACAGACCCUAAGAUGAGAGAAAGAAACCCGGAUUUGCCACAUAAUAAUAUAUCCAUUUCUCUAAAAACAGUGCAUGCUAUGAAACAAAGUAUGACUCCUCAAAAAAAAAAAAAAAAAAUAGCCAAUAGGAAGUGUCCAGGAAAAGCCCAGAUAUUGGACUUUGUAGACAAAAGUCUCAAAUCAGCUAUUUUUUUUAAAAUGUUUAUUCAUUUUUGAGAGGGAGAGCACAAGCAGGGGAGGGGCAGAGAGGGAGAGAGACACAGAAUCUGAAGCAGGCCCCAGGCUCCGAGCUGUCAGCACAGAGCCUGGUGUAGGGCUCGAACCCAUGAGCCAUGAAAUCAUGACUUGAGCUGACUGCUAAGAUGCUCAACUGACUGGGCCACCCAGGCACCGCAUUUUUUUUAAUGUUUAUUUAAAAUUUUUGAGAGUGCCCAAGUGGGGUAUGGACAGAGAGAAUCCCAAGAAGGCUCCAUCCUGUCAGUGCAGAGCCCAAUGCAGGACUCCAUCUCAUGAACUGUGAAAUGAUGACCUGAGCCAGUAUCGAGAGUCGGACACUUAAUCAACUGAGCCACCCAGACACCCCUCAAGUCAGCAAUAUUAAAAAUGUUCAAAGGAAGUCCCAUUUAAAGAACUAAAGUAUCAGAAUGAUGUAUCACAAAUAGAGACUAUUAAUACAUAGAAAUUAUAAGUAAAUGGAAAUUUUAAAGUUGGAGAGCAUAAUAAAAAUCCACUUGAAUGGCUCAACAGAUUUAAGCUAGAAGAAUGAAUCAGAAAGAUUCAAUAGAAAUCAGUAAUAGAAGGAAAGUUGGGAAAUUCACAAAUAUGUGGAAAUAAACACAUUUCUAAAUAACCAAUUUACACAAAACUGUAAAGGAAAUUAUAAAAUACUUUGAGAUCUACAGAAAUGAACACAAUAUAAAAAGUAUGGGAUGCAACCAAAGUGGUAAGUAGUAAAAGGUAAGUGUAUAGGCACACCUGGCUGGCUCAGUCGGUAGAACAUGUGACUCGAUCUUGGGGUCAUGGGUUCAGGCCCCACAUUGGGCAUAAAGUUUUUGCCUUUUAUUUUUUAUUUUUUUAAUAUUUUAUUUCUGAGACAGAGACAGAGCAUGAGUGGGAGAGGGGCAGAGAGGGAGGGAGACACAGAAAGAAGCAGUCUCCAGGCUCUGAACGGUCAGCUCAGAGCCCAGCACAGGGCUCAAACUCACAAACUGUGAGAUCGUGACCUGAGGCGAAGUCAGUCGCUCAACCGAACCACCCACACACCCCAAGUUUUUGCCUUUUAAAAAGAGGCAAAUGGAUAGCUGUAUAUGCCUACAUUUAAAAAGAAGAAAGAUCUCAAAUCAAUACCUAUCCUAAACUAGAAAAAGGAAAACCAAACCCAAAACAGGCAUAAUAAUGAAAAUAAUAAAAUAGAUGACAAAUACAAUAGAGAAAAUGAACAUAACUAAAAGUUAGAUCUUUCAAAAAAUCAACAAACGACAAAACUCUAAAUAGAUUAAGAAAAAAAGGCUGAAACUACUAAAAUCAGAAAUGAGAGGACAUUACUACUGACCUUACAUAAGUAAAAAGGAUGAUAGGGAGAUACUAUGGACAAUUACAUGUCAACAAAUUAGAUAAUUGGAUGAAAUAGAUUAAUUCCUAGAAGUACUUAACAGCCAAAACUGAUUUAAGAAGAAAUAGAACACUUGAAUAAACCUGAAUACAAGAAAAGAGAUUGAAUUAGUAAUCAAAAACCACCUAAUACAGAAAAGCCCAGGACUAGAAUUCACUGGUGAAUUCUUCCAAACAUUUAUAAAUGAAAAAAAAUGUUUUUAAUUUUAUUUAUUUUGAGAGAGUGCUAGCAGGGGAGGGGUGGAGAGAGGGAGAGAGAGACUCUCAAGCAGGUUCUGCACUGUCAGCACAGAGCAGAGCCCAACGCAAGGUUCAAUCCCACAACCCUGAGGUGAUGACCUGAGCCUAAAUCAAGAGUCAGACACUUAAUUGACUGAGCCACCCAUGUACCUGAGAAUUCUUCCAAACAUUUAAAGAAGAACUAGCACCAAUCCUCAAAACUUCCAAAAAACAGGAGAGAAAAUGUCGUAAUUCAUUCUAUGAGUCCAGUGUUACCCUGAAACCAAGGCCAAAGACAUCAUAAAGGAAAGCUAUAGACCAAAUCUGUUAUGAUGUUAAAAAUAUGCAACAAACUACUUGCCCAAUUGGAAUUUAUCCCAGGAAUGGAAAGUUGAUUCAAAAUAUGAAAAUUAUGUAUUACACCAUAUUAAUAAACUAAAGGGGAAAAACAUCAUCUCAGUUGAUGCAGAAAGAGCAUUUGGCAAAAUCCAAAAUCGUUCCUUAUAAUAUAAAUAGAUGUAAAUUAUGACACUAAGACCAUGUAGUUGAGAGGGGGGAGGGGAGGAGAGGUAGAAGUGUAGAGUUUUUAUAUGCAAAUGAAGGGAACAGCUUAAAAUAGACUAUUAUAAAUAUGUUUUACGUAAGCCCCAUGGUAACAAUAAAGAUACCCCUAGGAGUUACACAAAAGGAAAAGAAAGUCUAUCAAUCCAGAAAAAGAAGGGGG